UACGUAGGCAGCGAGCGUUGUUCGGAGUUACUGGGCGUAAAGAGUGCGUAGGCGGUUUUCUAAGUUUGGUGUGAAAUCUCCCGGCUCAACUGGGAGGGUGCGCCGAAUACUGAAUGACUUGGAGUGCGGGAGAGGAGAGUGGAAUUCCUGGUGUAGCGGUGAAAUGCGUAGAUAUCGGGAAGAACACCCGUGGCGAAAGCGGCUCUCUGGGACGGUACUGACGCUGAGACGCGAAAGCGUGGGGAGCGAACAGG
rnacentral:rRNA from 1 species